rnacentral:rRNA from 1 species
CGAAACAUACACGGAUCCGGAGCAAAAGCAAGAAAUCGAGAUCACGCAAACAGGCGAGCAUCAAGAAGAAGAAGCGCACACUGAAGCGGUUAUGGAGUGAGCAAGAAUGUGCGCUGUGUUUGAC